rnacentral:sRNA from 1 species
GGCGGCGGCGGCGGCUCCUGCAGCGCUGGUCGGCUUUUGGGUGUGGAGUUUCCCUGCGCCCCCUCGGGUCCGACCCUUUGAGCAUUCUGCUCCCGCGCCAGCCUACCUCGCUCCUCGGCGCCAUGACCACAACCACCACCUUCAAGGGAGUCGACCCCAACAGCAGGAAUAGCUCCCGGGUUUUGCGGCCUCCAGGUGGUGGAUCCAAUUUUUCAUUAGGUUUUGAUGAACCAACAGAACAACCUGUGAGGAAGAACAAAAUGGCGUCUAAUAUCUUUGGGACACCUGAAGAAAAUCAAGCUUCUUGGGCCAAGUCGGCAGGCUGGAGUACAGAGUGCAGUGGUGCCAUCUUGGCUCCACCUCCCGAGUUCAAGUGAUUCUUCUGCCUCAGCCUCCCGAGUAGCUAGGAUUACAAGCAUGCACCACGACGUCCAGCCAAUUUUUAUAUUUUUAGUAGAGACAGGUUUUACCAUGUUGGCCAGGCUGGUCUUGAACUCCUGACCU